rnacentral:lncRNA from 1 species
AAAAAGUGAAGCCAUCCUCCUGCAGAAGAUCAGAGCUAACACAGAGACCACCUCGCCUGCUGCACAAGGUGCUGAGAGUGGACCACUCCAUCAGAAUGCAGUGUCUCCAUCAGAUCCCUCCCCUUGGGGCUCAGGAUGCUCUGCUGAAAAGGAGGCAGAAGGAGUCUAAGAGCCAGAGGGGAUGAAGAACAUCAAGGAAACGUGGCCUUCUGGACACAACAGGAUGGACACACGUAUGAGCUCACAGAGACUAUGGCAGCAUCACACAGGCCUGCACAGGUCCCAGCAAGGCAGGGUCCGAGAGCUGAGAGGGGGAAAUGGACACGACUCUCAUCCCUAAUCCAGAAGCUAGCUCCAACGGUCAACAAAGGAAAACUAGCUUUUCCCAAGCAGUCUCCUUGGGAAUGCAAACCACACUGAAUGGCAGGCCCCGAGCCCAGCAGCAGAUGACCACACCAAACAAACUCAAUGGUUACUUCAAAAUUCUAGGAGAGAUGCCUGGAUCCUUUACUGUGGAGCUGUAAGUCUCGGCAGGUGACACUGAGCUAAGUUUUGACCUGAUUUAUAGGUGAAAGUAAGGAAAGAUAAUUUCACAAUCUGAUGCUUCCUCUGAUGGUUCUCUUCUCUUCUCUUCUCUUCUCUUCUCUUCUCUUCU